rnacentral:rRNA from 1 species
AGAGUUUGAUCAUGGCUCAGGAUGAACGCUGGCGGCGUGCCUAACACAUGCAAGUCGAACGUGAAGCUUGGUACUUGUAUCAGGCUGAAAGUGGCGAACGGGUGAGUAACACGUUGGUGACCUGCCCCGAGGAGAGGGAUAACUCCUUGAAAGAGGAGCUAAUACCUCAGAUGACUGGACAGUUAGAGGGUCCAGCCUAAAGCUCCGGUGUCUCGGGAGGGGCCUGCGGGCUAUCAGCUAGUUGGUGGGGUAAGAGCCUACCAAGGCGAAGACGGCUAGGGGGCGUGAGAGCGUGACCCCCCACAAGGGAACUGAGAAACGGUCCCUACUCCUACGGGAGGCAGCAGUGAGGAAUAUUGAGCAAUGGGCGCAAGCCUGACUCAGCAACGCCGCGUGGAUGAAGAAGGCCUUCGGGUUGUAAAAUCCUUUUCUGAGGGACGAUAAUGACGGUACCUC